rnacentral:sRNA from 1 species
AAGCGAUAGUUAAAGUAGCAUAACCUAUAUAUGUGAUGAACAUUAAUUCGUAGUUCUCAAUGCCCAGAGUGCUUGCCAUUUGUUGUCAACAUGAAGACUGUACUACUUUUUGUCGUAUUUUCGGUAUUCCUGACCUCUUACGUGGCUUUCGGGGCCGCUAUAGAUUUAGUUGGGAAUUGUCUCCUACUUCCAAGAUGUGCUGCUCCACCUGCAUGGUGUCACUAUACCACAGAUGCCAACGGUUGUAUGACGUGUCAAUUGGUGUGUACCCAUGACCCAUUUCUCAUCGGAGACAACUGACAUAUAUAGCAGAUUCUUGUUUUGUCAGGUAAAAUUAUGUAAAAUGUCAGCUUGCUCCAAGAUUGAGUUUGGGAGAAAUAAUGUGUACAAAUCUUUUACAGACAUCAGUUGAUAUAAACUUGGCUUUAAAAAAAAGGAGCAAUUUACAUUUUAAAAAAAACAACAAAAACAUACAUUUAAAAAAAAAUUCCAAUUUACUAAAUUUAUUUGCUGGAAUAGAAAAAAAAAGAUUUUAAAAAGCUGAUUUUUAAAUGUUUUUUUUAUUUACAUAAUCAUAAAUAAACAUAAAAACCAAAUAACAUGCACAUCUGUGAGAAUCGAUAUGGCUUCAGUAUAAAGCAUCAAGUACUUCAGACAAUUCACACAACAGGACAUGUCAAGGCCACACUAGCCUGAUGAUGAACUAACAUUAGUCUAAAAACUAAUACAUUAGUAACUGGUGAGUCAGUAUGAAGAUCACAUUCUAGUCAGUAAAUAUACAACAGACAGACAAAGCAAUUUAAUCUCAGGUCAUCAUAUAGAAUUCAUUACACAGACAAAGUUAUCACAACAGUUAAAGUUUACUUUGAGCCAUCAUCACCUGGUUCUGAUAUAACAGACAGACAAACAGACAAAAAACACAAAAUGCAAACAUGUAUUUGAAUAUAAAGCAUUUCCGAGAAACGAACAAAAAAAAAAAAAAAAAA